UUAGUCAACUGUACAAUUUAAAAAUUUAAAUUUUUCAUUUUUUUGACUUCCAAGUUCUGUGACAUGUUGAUAUUCCCUGUUUACUUCAAUCAGUUUUGUAAAAAGAGAAAGAUGGUGAUAUUGGUAACCAACAGUAAACAAAACAAAAGUAAACUAUGUCCAAUCACUCACUUAUUAGUAACAUAAGGUUAAAAAUGCAAAUUUUGACAGUAAUUUAACUAAGGUUUACUACAGUGUGACUCACAAAUGUUUUAUCUCAUAUGGCAACAUACCGUUAUAGCGCUAUACCGGCUGAAAUGUGGAAAAUAUCUUGAUAUGAAUUUUUGCUCAUACCGCCCACCCCUAAUAUGUCAGAUAGUUUUCGAAGGUUUUGUAUCUAACGUAUGUGUAGUAUGUAUUCAUAAUUUUGUAUUGGUUACCCAUUUCACUAAAUAGUUAUCAUAAAAUGUAUUUAGUGAAUAAAGUGCUCAUAGAUGUUGUAUAAAGUUCAUUUGUGUUUUUUUCUGCAUUAUUUUUUUAGUAGAAAUUCAAAUCUGUUUAACAGUAAGUAAUGCUAGCAUAGUUUUAGUAUUAUGAAAGUUAAAGAAACCUAUUGUGUUAAAAUUGCUAAUUGUAAUUGUUAAAAGUUCUGUUUAGUUACAAUGACAAACUUAUUGAUUGGUAAUUUGUUUAAAAAAAAUGAACACAAAAAAUAGAUGCUGGGUUGAAAUUAAACUUUACUUUGGGUUUUUUCAGCCAUAAACAGGAAAGACAUCAGCACAGUGUUCCUUGAGCAUUUCAUUGCACUUUGACAGACUCAAAAGAUGCCACGUGGAAAAGGUUUUUGGCGGUCCCAGGCAGCCAAGAGGCGUAUGGCUAAGCCAUAUUCACUCAGUCCUGCAGAUCAACUUGCUGACGAAAAUUCCAUGGUUUCCAAUUGUUCCAAUGACCCUCCAAAAAGUUCCAAGACUUUCCAAAAAGUUCCAAAAAGUUCCAAUGACUUUCCAAAAAGUUCCAAUGACUUUCCAAAAAGUUCCAAUGACUUUCCAAAAAGUUCCAAUGACUUUCCAAAAAGUUCCAAUGACCUUCCAAAAAGUUCCAAAGACAAUUCCGUUCAUGUAACCAACUUUGCUAGUUUUUCAGAUCAAGUUCUAAAAGGCUCCUUUCAUCAGGGUGAUGAACGAUUUGGGUACAACAGGAACCGGCAGUGUGGAGUCAACAGUCUGACAGCAGUGAUGAUGAGUAAACUGAAGAAUGUGCUGACAUGGACCACAGAUGACCUGAAUACUGUGUUGGUUAAAGGAGACGAAAUGUAUACAUGUAUGCGCUUACAGGGAAAAAUUAAUGAUUCAACAGGUCGUGGAUAUGUUUCCAUUGCAGAAUUGCCAAAAAUGCAUACACUGUACAGUACAAAGUUCAAAAUAAACUACAAUGAGUCAUACA